GACGAACGCUGGCGGCGUGCUUAACACAUGCAAGUCGAACGCUGAAGCUCAGCUUGCUGGGUGGCUGAGUGGCGAACGGGUGAGUAACACGUGAGUAACCUGCCCUCUUCUUUGGGAUAACGCCCGGAAACGGGUGCUAAUACUGGAUAUUCACUGAUUCUCGCAUGGGGGUUGGUGGAAAGGUUUUUUCUGGUGGGGGAUGGGCUCGCGGCCUAUCAGCUUGUUGGUGGGGUGAUGGCCUACCAAGGCUUUGACGGGUAGCCGGCCUGAGAGGGUGACCGGUCACAUUGGGACUGAGAUACGGCCCAGACUCCUACGGGAGGCAGCAGUGGGGAAUAUUGCACAAUGGGCGAAAGCCUGAUGCAGCGACGCCGCGUGAGGGAUGGAGGCCUUCGGGUUGUAAACCUCUUCCGCUCAUGGUCAAGCCGCAGCUUUGGGUUGUGGUGAGGGUAGUGGGUAAAGAAGCGCCGGCUAACUACGUG
rnacentral:rRNA from 1 species